rnacentral:siRNA from 1 species
CUGUUCUUCAAGGUAUUUUCGUGA